GAGGUUGAAAUUUGGAGUCUCGUUUUUCUUGACAUAUUUAUUGUACAAAGACUUCUUCCAAUUCUGGAAGAGUACUGCCAUCUUCUUUAUAGUCCAGUCAUAAAUUCGCACCUUCAACUCUUCAUCGUUGGUGUCAAAGGUGAAAACGUCUGUGACGGCUUUCCAAACUAACUCCUUGUCACGAUCAGAGACAAAACUGAUCUCAGGAGCACCUCGCUUCUCUCUCCAUUCACGAGCGCUGAUCGGUAUUUGAUCUCUCACAAGAUAUCCACAGUGACUAACAUAUUUAUUUGCAUGCUCACCAAGUGGUCUGCCUGUAGCUAUCUCAAACUCAGAGAUUACAUAGCGGCCCUCCAACGGCUUCUUUGGCCCUCGUGGAGGUACGCUUCUCCCUGUAGAGGUCGAUCCAGAAGGCUACACGUAGAUAUAGAAACAAAAAUACUAAAUUAAUAACCAAGUAAUAAGUCUAAAACCUAAUGUAAGAGAUGCAUUAAUUAUAUAUGUUUACAUUUACAUACCUCGCCAGUAUUUUCUUCUUGUUGCACGACAAGUUGUUGCUCAGGGGCAUUGCCCUCUUGUUGCUCAGGGGCAUUGCCCUCUUGUUGCUCAGUACGAUUGCCUUGCAUGAUCUCGUGGUAAUCAACAAAGUACUGACUACCGUCGUCGAUCAUAUUUUGAAUGGCAUCUUCCAUAUAAUCAGGAUCAUCAUGAGGACGGUCAGCCAUUUCUAUGUCUGCAACCAUACAUAUAUAUAUAUUCUAUAUAAGAUAAGAAAUACACUAGAAUAAUAUAAGUGCUAGAGUGCUCCAAACUAAAAAGUAAUACUAAAAAAAUAAUACGGACAAUAACACUAGAAUAAUAUACUAGCACACAAUAUAUUUCAUAACAAUUCAAAACACUACAAUUCAUAAUAUACUAGAAUAACAUACUAAAAAGUCUUUUAAGCCAAGUAAUAUACUAAAAAAUAAUAUAAAAAAACAAUACGAACAAUAACACUAGAAUAAUAUGCUAGCACAAUAUAUUUCAUAACAAUUCAAAACACUACAAUUCAUAAUAUACUAGAAUAAUAUACUAAAAAGUCUUUUAAGCCAAGUAAUAUACUAGAAUAAUAUACUAAAAAAUAAUACUAAAAAAUAAUAUUAGAAUAAUAGUAUAAACAAUAAUAGUAUAUAUUUUAAGCCAAGUAAUACUAGAGACUUAUAUACUACUACUAGUACUACUACAAAUAAAAGUGCUGG
rnacentral:lncRNA from 1 species